rnacentral:rRNA from 1 species
CAAUAGCGUAUAUUUAAGUUGUUGCAGUUAAAAAGCUCGUAGUUGGAUUUCGGUUAAGAGCGACCGGUCCGCCGUUUGGUGUGCACUGGUUGGUUUUAACUUCCUGUAGAGGACGUGCUCUGGGUUGAACGACCUGGACUCGGAGUCUACGUGGUUACUUUGAAAAAAUUAGAGUGUUCAAAGCGGGCUUACGCUUGAAUAUUUCAGCAUGGAAUAACACUAUAGGACUCCUGUCCUAUUUCGUUGGUCUCGGGACGGGAGUAAUGAUUAAGAGGAACAGUUGGGGGCAUUCGUAUUUCAUUGUCAGAGGUGAAAUUCUUGGAUUUAUGAAAGACGAACUUCUGCGAAAGCAUUUGCCAAGGAUGUUUUCAUUAA